rnacentral:misc_RNA from 1 species
AAUUCUCAAACCUUUACUUGUUUACAAGUUAAAGGCUUUGGAUGUGAGGGUUGCCGGACUUUUAGUUCAGCUCUCUUUAAAAAUAUUAGUGGUUAUCGAUCCCAUUACUUGGUGUGAUAAUAUCUACGCCUCGCAAGAAAGAUCAUAUGUAGCUGCUUUCAAACCGUCAUAAGACAACUUGAACC